ensembl:lncRNA
UGUUGUGUCAAAUCAUUUUUAUUUAUCUGAUGUGUUUUAUGGUAUGUCCCACCAAAAUGUUACUCGCUAGUGUGUUAUUUUUUGUAGGCUGUGAACGUAUACCACUACAAGUCAAGCAUGUGAGGAAUGCAUUUCAUUCAACAAAGGCAGCAUACAUUAUUUUUGUGUGAUCAUUGGUGAUUAAAGAAACAUUGAGUGGAGGCAACAUCUCUAUUGACACAGAUCGUUUGCCCGGCCGCACACCGGGAGCAAACUCGGUGCUAUGCUUCGCAACACAUAUGACCGCCGUUCUUGGCAAUACUCCAAAUGUAUACAAACGUUAACAAUCGGAUAGCCCCAUUCAAUGGUGUAGCGUGGUGGCACCAGGUUGGGGUGCAAGCCUCCCCACCCGCGGGAUGACAACUUAAGAAGUGACAAAUACACAUGUAAAGCCGAUCCUGCGGUAGAUUAACCUACCAGCUGACGCCUGACUGUGAUAACAGGAUAGAAACACACAAUAUAAACACUACAUUUUCAAAUAUAGGCUAAAUACACAUUGGCUAAAUGAGCUCACAAGUUCUCAUGUAUUAUGAAAUACUCAAAGAUAACAGGAAGUUGAACAUCAUCUGAACCAAAGCAUAAGUAUGUUUGUAACAGACAUAAAAUGUAGGGGAGAGCGGGGUAUGUUGUCACACUUUUCACACUGUGUUACAUUUACAGGGUACAAUACAUCACAAUGCUAUAAAUGUCAUACCAAAUGAAAGAAGGAAGUCUUGGGCACAUUUUGUAUUCAUUACCUCAUAUCUUAUUUCAGUAUGCAGUUGUAGACUUAAAUACAGAGUGUGGACUUGGGACAAUUUGCCCCUUCAGCAGGUAAGUUGUCACAUUGGAUUAUCAACAAAUAAGAACAACUAAUUGUCAAUAUUGAUUUAAAAUUCAAACCAAAUUUAACUUCAUUAAAGAACACAAAAUGAAAACAAUCAUGCCUAGAGAAUCUGGCAAAUCAUGCCUGACAAUCAAAACACUAAUGCUGUCAUAGCAACUUCACCUGCCUCAUGGCCUUUAACAUUGUCUGGUGGUGUGCUGUCAUUCUCCGUCUUUCUUUUAUAAUUUUGUACAAUCUUUCCUUCCCCACUUUUUUUCCUUUCUUUCUUCCUUCCUUCCAAAACACAUUUCCUCAUUGCAAUUGCAUAUUCAUUACAGGCUUAUUACACCCUCCACCAUGUCUACUAUCCUUGUUUCCACAAUGCAAUUCAUAACACCUCACUAAAUUAAUGACACUUUAUGAAAUAGUGUGUGUGGAUAUACUGUCUCAUAGAGUAGACAAGUAGUGUUUAGUAGACACACACACACACAAACACACCACAGCCUGUCUUGUGUAGGCUAGUCCAGGGAUAUAUCAGCUACUUUAAACUAUAUGUAUAUAUAAUAAUUCAUUUACAGUAACAUCUAAUAAUAUUAUCAGAGCUGAUUAAUAGGUAUUACAAUGUUUUUUGAGCAUGUUCUGUGUCUAUGUAUACCGGGGCAAGUUGUCACAUGUUCAAACUUGCCCCAAGGUCAUUGAGACAACUUGCCCCAAACUGACGUGUGUUAAUGUUGGCUAAAUCUCAUGUUUAACUCAAUGUAAGACUGCAGAUAAAGUAUCUAAAGAUGUGUCUCCUCUACUCAGUGCAAAAUUAUACUUUUCUACAUUCAUACCUAACAAGGUUUCCUUGCAUAAAAUUUAAAAUGGCAAAUUUUUACUUUUAAAGGGGAAAAAUAAGAAACUUGUGCUCAGAUUAGUGAUCUUGAUCAUUUGUGAACAGGAAGUUGACCAUAGAACUCGUAGUCACACGAAGUAGCUAUUUAAUUUUUGAGAGAGCACCUCAAGUGUUGG